rnacentral:rRNA from 1 species
ACUACGGGAGGCCGCAGUGGGGAAUAUUGCACAAUGGGGGAAACCCUGAUGCAGCGACGCCUCGUGAAGGAAGAAGUAUUUCGGUAUGUAAACUUCUAUCAGCAGGGAAGAAAGUGACGGUACCUGACUAAGAAGCCCCGUCUAACUACGUUCCAGCAGCCGCGGUAAUACGUAGGGGGCAGGGGUUAUCCGGAUUUACUAGGUGUAAAGGGAGCGUAGGCGGCGAUGCAAGUCAGAAGUAAAAGCCCGGGGCUCAACUCCGUUACGGCUUUUGAAACUGUAUGGCUGAUUGCAGGAGAGGCAAGUGGAAGUCCUAGUGUAGCGGUGAAAUGCGUAGAUAUUAGGAGGAACACCAGUGGCGAGGGCGGCUUGCUGGACUGUAAAUGACGCUGAGGCUCGAAAGCGUGGGGAGCAAACAGGAUGAGAUACCCUAGUAGUC